GUGGAAGCCAGGCCUCCUGUGCCGGGGCCCAGCAAGGCUCCUGCAGUGGAAAAGCAGCCUGGCUCGCUGCUGCUGCUGCUGCUGCUGCUGCUGCUGUUGCUGCUGCUAUGUUUAUCGCUCCUACUGACACAGCCAGAACCAUCCUUCCCAACCGUCCUUGGGCCCUCCCAGCUGACGUCACUGCUGUCUUCCAGGAGCAGAGUCCUCCCUACCUGGUUCCUGAAGCAAUCCUCGCCACAGACUUGAGAGUCAGCUGCUUGACCAUAGAUGAGGAGCUUGUCUCAGAGGGAACUGGAGUUGGAAUGGGGUAGGAGAGCCUCUUCUCUCAGCCCACAACCCCCACCUCGCAGGAGGAGCACUGAGCACUGAGACCAGGGAGGAGCUGCCUGCCCGCUCCUAUGGAAGUCAUCCUCCUGGCCUGCCCAUGGAUCCGCCAGCCAGAGGCGGGGCAGACAUCAAAGCCUCUUUUGGCAGCACCUCCCCUGCAGAGCCUGUCUCCCUGGAGAGGAUCUUGCCUUUCAAAUACUAACCAGCUAUGAGCUGGCACCACAUCCCAGCCCCCACACACCAGGCAGCUGAAGCAGAAUUCUCCUUUACUGGGCCCACACAUCUGGCCUAAAUUCUUAUUCCACCAAGACAAGUUUAUUGAACAGUUAGGCAAUGCCUCCACACACAGCCACUGCAGACAAGCUCAAAAUAUACUUUAAUACAUUGAAAACACCGUUUCAGAGACUGGCUUUCUCACAAUAAAGAUGCAACUGACAUUCAUUGGGUGCCGAAACGUCAAAUUGUGGCAAUCCGGCAGGGAGCCUGACAAGCCAUUAAAUCUGAAGCUCGCUUCGGCCGAUUCCUUUCCUUUCAUGCCUGUCUUCCCCAACCAUCGAUCUGGGCUCCUGAAGCCGACAUUUCGGUGGGACCUUCCAGACUCUGGCCAGGUACCAUCUCUAUCCCUGCCAUCAGUUCUUCCACUGAAAUGCCCUGCGGAGCGGGGUGGGAGGACCACAGCCGCUGGGAGAGGAGCCAGGAGUGAAUGGGAACAGAUCUCACCUUCGGUGCCCUCCCAGGGCUAGGAAGGUGAGACCUUCAGUCUCUGGGAAGAAAGGACUGCUGGGAAACCACCCAAGGAUGGUUUCCACGAAGGGUGAGCCUACGCUCCCCUCCCCACCUCGGCAGCCUUCCAUCUGGUCUGGGCAGGGGAGGAGAGGCACAGAACGGGCAGGGGCUUACGUAGGAUCCGGUCCCCAAGAUAGAUGGCAGCAGGCAAUCCCUAGCUCCACACUGGGGAACUCUGAGUUCUGAGCCCAGCCCAACUCCUCUAAGAAAGUUUCUGUACUUUUGUCUUUUAACUUUCCCUGGCUCCAGAAAGAGGAUGUGGAUGGGUUAUUGAGAAUAGUAGGGUAGGAAGACAAAGAGAGGACAGAAAGGACCCAAAUGCUAGGAAUUGGGAAGGGUGCUAAGAAGGAGAGGGACACCAGGCCCCAGGGAUCUGGUUUACAGCUCUGUGUCUCCAUGUGCAUAUGCACCUUCCCCCAUCCUGGGCCACGGAGGACAGGUGUGGUGCGAAGUGUUGGGUUAGGUUGGGAGGAUCAAAGAGGCCUCUUCCCAAACCCCUGAAGUUGCGUCCAGUUGCCUUCCUCACAGCAUAGUUUACACCUCUGACCGCUGAGGUAUAUGUUAAUGCCUCCCACAGCAUAUGAAUAUGGGCAAGUGUGUGCUGAGGUAGGUGUGGGAAUAUAUCAGUCAAUGACGAUGUGUUGUGGCAACCAGUCGAUGGUGCAUGUCUGUACUUGAAAGCCACAAGGUUCUAGGUAAAAUCUAUGGGAGGCCCUGUUGCACAAUGCUGGUGAGUGUGUGGCUGUGGGGGUGUGAUUAAUAGUUUAUAGGCUGUGUAUAAGUGUGCAUGGCUGUCUGAGUGUGUGCAAAUUAAAAUGGAAAUGUGUGCCAGAGGAUGACACAAAUGCAGGAAAGCACACGGGCUUCGGAGUCAGUCGACUUGGGCAUGCAUCCUGGCUGUGUUAUUAGCCAGAUGUGUAACCCUGGGCGAGUCACUGAUCCUCAAUUUCCUCAGCUCUGAAAUGAGGACAAUAAUAAGUACCUUUCAAGAUUGCCAUGAGCAUUAGAAAUGUACCACAUAUACAAAGGUUUUGGUGCCAGAGCCACAACCAUAGGAGACAAAAGAAGGCAGCUAUUAUCAUGCACUGUGGACGCGCCUCUGAUGGGUACAGAGGCAAGAGGAGCAAAAUGAGCCUGGGGUGUGUGUGUGAAAUCUGGGGAAGGCGGUAUGUACUAAGGUGUGUGUAGAAGCAAAGCUGUGUACGUGUGUGUGCAUCCAAAGCAACUCCUUCUCCUGUUCGGGGAGCCCCCUAUUCAGACAGAGCAGGCGGGUGGGAAGGGAUGUACAAGUGUCCGCAGACACCCUGGGUUUCUGGGUCCUGGGUCCUGGGUCUAAGCGAGUAAGAGGUUGAGAGGCC
rnacentral:lncRNA from 1 species